rnacentral:rRNA from 1 species
GGGUCAGUAGGUUGGUCGUGCCACCGGUACGUACUGGUCUCACUGAUUCCUCCUUCCUGAAGAACCGUAAUGCCAUUAAUUUGGUGUUGCGGGGAAACAGGACUGUUACUUUGAAAAAAUUAGAGUGUUUAAAGCAAGCUAACGCUUGAAUACAUUAGCAUGGAAUAAUGAAAUAGGACGAUCGGUCCUAUUUAGUUGGUUUCUAGGAUUGACGUA